AAGGUGUCCUCUUUCUGCUCAUGUGGAAAUUGCCUGGGAAGCUAGUAAGCUGUUGGCUCUGAAGGCAGUUGGCUGUCCUGAGUUUUCGAGUCCCUUGGAAGGAUUCUGGGGAGUUGGCCGAUUGGCUGCAGACCCGAGCUCAUCUGACGAUGUGAACGGCCUCCUGAGACCUGCAGGCAUGUGAUGACAUCAGUCCUUGUCCCCCUAGCUGGUCCACUUUAGCUCAUGGGAUCCUCUGACGACCUCCCUGGAAGGAGACGCUCCCUUACAGAUGGGGAAGCUGGGCCUUUUGGCUGAAGUCAUUGAUUCCUGAGGUCACAUGGCUGUAGGGCAGAAGGCGGCAGGACAGACACCGAUGGCGGCCCCCCUGUUCCGGGUGCUCGCUGUUGAGCCCGUUUGACCUGCUGACCUCGUGUAACACACGAGGAAAUGGAAGUCCUCUGAGGCGAAACAACACCCAGGCGCCAGGUGAGUGCACAGAGCAGGGUUCGAAGCCAGGUCCUGUCCCCGCCACCCCAGGGGAGAGCUGACCCCACAAAGCGGUGGCUCCUGGCCUCUCCCUCUGCCGGAUGUUUCCCCUCUUCUUCCCUUUGCUCCGUGAUUAUGUGGCUCUGCUCCUGCCAGAUCCAGACUUGCUGGUAAGACCACUUCUGAAGAGGUUUAGACAGUGACUGCAUUUCG